AUGUGAAGGGGAAGAAUUUCAGGAUGUUUUUGUGACCAGAGCAAUAACAGCACAGAUCUGGUUUUAAUAUUAUGUAACAUCUAAAUCAUGUCAAAAUAUGUCUACUAAUGAUCAACUACUGUAAUGACAUAAACUUUGCAUUUAUUUGGAAUCUGUUGCAAAUGCCAGCACGUUCCACCUGCUUGCCACCAUGGUGACAUAAAAUAUUGCAGAAUAUCUGAAUUUAAAAUCUCCCCCUGUUCAUUUCCAGCUGCAGUUCAAUCUGACAUUCAAGACAUUCUUCAAAAGGGACCUCACCAAAUGAGAUGCCACUUUCUUUUCUGUAUAAUAUUUGGUGAAUGGAUCUUUACUUGAAAACUCUUGAUCUCAGUUCACAAGAAUACUUUCUGAGGGACCUGUGGCAGGUCAUUCUGAAGGCCAGUUCUCAAGUUUCAGGUCUUGGUUCUUCCACAAUUCAGAUCAUAUUUUCAUGAAGCAAGAUUACAAGGAAAUCAACAGUUUUUCUACCCUGGAAAGUAUAUGUGUUGAAAAGAAAAUUUAGUUCCACAAGUACCUGGAGAGUCUUUUACCACGAGUCAGACCCACAGGUUUUCAAACAGAGAAAAAUAAAUUUUAAAAACAUCAUGGCCAUAUGUUAAAAAAACAGGGGGUUCAUAAGCUUCAUCAUCUCUAGGCCUACAUUGCUCUUCUUUCAGCACCUCCUUUUUCUUCUGAUAUCCUUUUCUUGUAGUUUUCUUUCUUCAGGCCUCCCUCAGGCUUCCUGCCAUCUAUCCAGACUUAUUCCCUUUUCCAUUGACUCUGGUACAUUCUGAUCUUUUUUCUUUUGUUUUACACACCACAGUUAGUUCACUUUUCCUCCUUUCUCACAUACAGUUUUCCUGUGCCUUUUCUGGUUUAUUCCUCUGUCCUUGUCUAUGUUGCUAAUUCUGUUUUCCAUACUUUUAAGAAAGGUUUUCAGCCUGUCAUAUAUAUACCCAUGCAAAAUUGUAGUCAAAAGACUUCCUCAAGAAUUCAUUUCAAUCAGUAUCUGAAGCCAAGAGAUUUACACUCGCUAACUGAUACACCAGUGUCUAUCAUACCAGAAUCAGGGCCAGAUUACUUCAAAUGAAAUUAUUUUAAAAAUAGAUAAUUUUGUACUUUCAUAUUUAUUGCUUUACAGAAUCACAAAAUGGGUUGGGUUGGAAGGAAGCAUAUUGGGUCAUCUGGUGCAGCUUCCCUGCUCAAGCAGUCAUCCUAGAGCACGUGGCACAGGAUUGCAUCCAGAGAGUUCUGGAAAAUCACCAGUGAGGGAGACUCCGCAGUCUCUCUGGACAUUCUGUUCCAAUGCACAGGAAAGGUGUUCUUCCUUGUAUUCAGGUGGAAUUUCCCAGAAUCAGUUUCUGCCCAUUGCUUCUUGUCCUAUUGCCUGGCACCACCAAGAAAAGCCUGGCUCUGUCUUCUUGGCACUCUCCCUUCAAGUACUCACAGACAUUGUUCAGCCAACCCAAGGCUGAACAGCUCCCUCAGCUUUUCCUCAUAAAGGAGAUGCUCCAGUACCUUAAUAAUCUUUGCUAUCCCCUGCUCACUCACCAGCAUCCUUGCUGACCUCUCCUAACCUCAAGUCCUUCAUGACUUCUGUGUGGGGCCACAAUACUAUUCUAUGGAAAACAUGGUCUAUCCUAACACAAAAGGAAAAGUGCAAAUAUAAUUAUUAGGCAAACUGUAUUUUCUCUGGUCUAUGUAGUUCUCAAAGGAAUUAAUCUAGAGUUACCCCAUGUAAGUCCAUAGGUGCCCUGAAAAAUCAUACUUUUGUUGGAUUUCAAGGCAGUGUGUUCAAAAAUCACAUGGUUUGACAAACUAUGAGGCAGGACAUUUUUGAAUGUUUACUAUCCUGACUUUGGUUACAGUAUUGUAUGAUACUAGUGAGAGCAAUAUCUCUCUUUUUUUCCUGGCUGUAAGAAUGGAAACAAUCUCUCACCUGCAUAACAUUCAUAGGUAUGCCUUGAAUAAUAAGUUGUCAAAGCCUGGAAGGAUUAAUGUCUUGAGACAUUUUGGGAUACUUGUGGGAGGGUGUUGAGGUCACACCUUGCCCUGUAAAGCCAGUGAACUGCCCCACACCCCCUAGAGCCAGUAUCCCUGCCUGACAGAGCUGCCAAUCAUUGGCAAAACUCAGGAAAUGCCCCACAUUCCCUCUCUGGAGUUCCUAACCCAGCUCCUGGGUGGACAAAUGACUGGAAGUCCCACCUGGGAGGAGGGCCCAUGGAGGCUAAGGGGUAUUUAAGGCUGAGCAGGCACUCAGCAUCCCUCUUAACCCUGUGUCUUGGAGUUCCUGUCUGAACAGUACUGGAAACCCAGGAACUGGUGACUAUUUGUGUGUUUUUCUAUAUCUUUUCUGUUUCUCUUCUAAUUCCUUCUUCUUUGAACAUUUUGAGAUGUAAUUUAAGAUCAAAUGGGUUUAAAAUUUGCUAAGUUAAAUGGUCCAAGUUAAUGCUGUGAGAAGUGUUUAAUGUUGAUUGGAUGUUGUACUAAAACUUUUGCUGAAGUUACAUAAUUUUUCUAAAGUUUGCUUGUAAACUUUUGUCUUGUUUUGACCUCUUGAGGAGAUCUGGUUGGUAUUACUGCCACACAUUUAACACAGAGUACAUGAAGGACUGUAAGCCCUUACAGUGAGUUGAUUGGGACCUUACAAUCAACUUGUGUAUAUUAGCACAAUUGGAUAUUAAUACUGGAUAUUAUUUCACAUGAGACCGCCUGUAGUUUAGGUUUUUAAUUUUGGUUUUUUUUUAAUAUAAAUAAAAACUUACACUGCUUCUUUUUGAUCA